CCGGUGCUGCCAAGCUGGGUACUGAGUGUACUGCGUUUGGGAGCUCUUGGCCGAGCGCUUCCAACACGGCUGCUGACAGAUGGUCUGCAGAGGAGUUCGCUAUAUAGAGAACACAGUGAGAGCAAGGUCUUUCCCCCCACUCAUACCUGUGUCAAGGAGGACUGGAACAAAAUGACAGUGAAGAUAGUCAGUCUUGGAAAAGGCAAUCUGAGACCAUUACCCCGCUCUGCCGUAUUACAAGGACUGGAGUUCCUGCUGGGACAGCCUCAGUCCCAGCCACGAUGAACAUAGAGAACACAGUUUGGAUAUCAUAGAUGCUCUGCAUUGAGUGGAUAACUG
rnacentral:lncRNA from 1 species